rnacentral:hammerhead_ribozyme from 1 species
AUAAAGCUGACGAGUCCCAAAUAGGACGAAACGCGCGUCCUGGAU